CCUACGGGGCGCAGCAGUGAGGAAUAUUGGUCAAUGGUCGGGAGACUGAACCAGCCAAGCCGCGUGAGGGAGGAAGGUACAGAGUAUCGUAAACCUCUUUUGUCAGGGGACAAAGACUGGGACGCGUCCCCGGAUGAGUGUACCUGAAGAAAAAGCAUCGGCUAACUCCGUGCCAGCAGCCGCGGUAAUACGGAGGAUGCGAGCGUUAUCCGGAUUUAUUGGGUUUAAAGGGUGCGCAGGCGGACUGUCAAGUCAGCGGUCAAAUCGCGGGGCUCAACCUCGCUCCGCCGUUGAAACUGGCGUUC
rnacentral:rRNA from 1 species